GCUGAGCUGCUGCCUGAGGAUAACUCGGUUCCGACCUAUGUUUGUGACCGCCCAGACUAACUUGAAGGAAGGCUUUUAUUCUGUAGAAUUCCUUAUUAUUCGUGUUUUCCUACACCGACGCGAGGAAUCAUCGAGCACAAUAAAAAUGGCGGCAGCCGCUUUACCAUGGUAACAGAAUCCAGAAGGUUCAAGAUUAUUCACCUGCUUAAGGGCUGCCUUAUGACCUACAUUGCUUGGUAGUGGGCCAGGGAGUUAGGUGGUCAGCUGAACUGGAGGAAGAUUUUCCUUGUUCUUGGCAAUGGCAUGGUAACCUCUUGCUGCUGAAUGAGGACUGCUUCCAAACCAAGCAUUGAGGAAAGCUGGGAAUAUUUUUGAUGGGAUCCAGUACGUGUUCUCCUUUGAGAUUGCCGAGAAGCUGCAAGUGGCAUCACUGCCUGGUACUGGAGAAGCAUGUGGGUAUCUCUGUUUCAUGCUGUGUUCUCUUCCCCCAUGGUUGUGAUUGGAAUCUUCAUACUAUACCUGCUCUGAGAAAAGAAAUCUAGAGAUAAAUGGAGUAGAAGAUUGAUGCCAAAUAUACUUUGAGAGUAACAGAAAGGAUACACAACCAGAAAAGCGAAUUUGGAAAAUCUAGGUAGUCAUUUUCUCUCUUGCUUUGCUAUAGAUAUGUCCCAUUUGAUAGUGCUGCUGUUCCUCUUUUCAUUUCUUUAUGCCUCUUGUAGCAGAAACUGUUGCACAUCACUGACAGGGUAAUUCUGGGGCUGGUCCUUAGCCCUGAAGAAGGCUGGUUCAUAGUUUGUUAAAUGUUAUAUCAGGACUGGGGGCAUAUUGCAUGUUCACCCAGAUGUGGGGUCUUUCCUGGGAAAGAAUCUCAAUCUUCCUGGAAGCGUGGAAAUAGAGCACUGUCAUUAUCCUUAGCAAAUUAUCAAUGGCCAGUAGAAAUACAAAGCUACCAGAGUUUCUGUGAGGAAAUCUGGAAAGUAACCAAGCUAGAGUGGCAAAGGUGGGCUCAAUCUGUAAAGAAAUCACUUUGCCAAUCUUCAUCCAAGUGCGCACUAAACUAUGGAAGACACAGAUCCUGCAUAUUCAGCGGUAAAAUCCUGUGCUGUCCAUGUAUAUCACAUAGUCCUGGAUCUGAACUGUGUGAGCAGGGAAUCUACCUAUAUCCUUUAGUUGACUAGAGAAGGUAAGUCCUGGGGCACAUGGGUUUCAUGUGUGAAUGAGCUUCCAUAGUUGAUGCCUUUAUUUUUUUAAGUUUAUUUUGGGAGAGAAAGUCUGCGCAAAUGG